rnacentral:tRNA from 1 species
GUGGGUAUAGCUCAGCUGGUUAGAGCAUCGGAUUGUGGUUCCGAGGGUCGAGGGUUCGAAUCCCUUUACCCACCCCA